UACGAACUGUGCGAACGUUAUUCGGAAUCACUGGGCUUAAAGGGUGCGUAGGCGGCUAUUUAAGUAGGGUGUGAAAGCCCCCGGCUCAACCGGGGAAUUGCGUCCUAAACUGGAUAGCUGGAGUGGGAUAGAGGUGUGUGGAACUUCCGGUGGAGCGGUGAAAUGUGUUGAUAUCGGAAGGAACGCCGGUGGCGAAAGCGACACACUGGGUCUCAACUGACGCUGAGGCACGAAAGCCAGGGGAGCGAACGGG
rnacentral:rRNA from 1 species